rnacentral:sRNA from 1 species
GAACAAAUUAUAACUUCUAAUGAAUACCGGUUCCUAAAUAGUGUCAUCAUUCUUGGUAGUGAAGAUGAAAAAGACAGCUAUCUGUCUAAUAAUUUUUAAUUGUUUAUGUUAGAAACUGAUUUCUUUUUGUACGUGUGUAUUUAUACGAUUUAUAGAAUUAAUCUUUUUUUAUAUACCUUAUUCAAAUUUCCCUUCACUGAGUCACGUGUGGACAUUAGAUAUUCUGUCACGUGACUCAUAAUCUUGUGACAAAAACCUGGAUCAGUGUGACUGGAGACCUUGAAAGAUUCAAACUACAAUAUGAAACCAAUCCUGACAUGUUAACUCUGUUGGUUUUAACAAUUAAAACAUAUUUUUUC